rnacentral:rRNA from 1 species
GGGAACUCCAGGGAGACUGCCGGUGAUAAACCGGAGGAAGGUGGGGACGACGUCAAGUCAUCAUGGCCCUUACGAGUAGGGCUACACACGUGCUACAAUGGCGCAUACAGAGGGCAGCGAGCCAGCGAUGGUAAGCGAAUCCCAAAAAGUGCGUCGUAGUCCGGAUUGGAGUCUGCAACUCGACUCCAUGAAGUCGGAAUCGCUAGUAAUCGUGAAUCAGAAUGUCACGGUGAAUACGUUCCCGGGCCUUGUACACACCGCCCGUCACACCAUGGGAGUGGGCUGCAAAAGAAGUAGGUAGUCUAACCUUCGGGAGGACGCUUACCACUUUGUGGUUCAUGACUGGGGUGAAGUCGUAACAAGGUAGCCCUAGGGGAACCUGGGGCUGGAUCACCUCCUUAUACGAAGAUA